GUACAGGUGAGUGACUUCAAGCCUUAUUUUAGACAAAGUGUCUCUCCUGCCCCAAAGGCUCUCACAGAACAAAGCUGCUACAACGGUUCCUAAAACAGACACAAUUCCCACAGAAUUAUAGAUAAUUUUCAUUUCAGAAAAGAAGAUAAAGACAUUAUUUAAUUAUCCUCUUUGGGAUAUGAAAGUACCACGUGGAAGAUGGAGGCCAACUAUUUCUUCUUCAGGAGAGUCAAAAGAACCACAUUGAAGAAGAGGUUCACAACAGAUGCUAAAAAAUCUAAGGGUGCUCAUGGCCUGAAUACGUUUCCAGGCAGAGUUUGUGAGCAGAGUUCACAAAGGUGCGGAUGAAGACCGUUCGCUGGGCUUCACUAGUACAAAGACAGGCUGACAGUGCAAAGACGAAGAGGAACGGUCCCAGCCAUCAGGGAACUCAGCAGCUUGGAAGAUACUAAACAGCCACUCCUCCAGGAUCUUCUAGUUAGGAAAUUGAAGGCUCCGUCAUUGCUAUAGGCAUUUCAAGCUCGGCCAGUAGGCUCUGUAUAUUGACAGAGAUGAGAAAGACUGCUAUAGGUUAUGGCUCGUGUCCCAAGUUGUUGGGAAGGAACCUCUGGUUGCAGCAGGACUGACUGUACAAUUUGUGAGCCCAGUGUGAAAUGAAAAUGCAGGGCCCCUUGAUCAAAAAUUAUAAAAAAAUCUCAAGACAGCGCCAGCAGAGCAUUAAAACAAGCCCCAAGUCCCAGGCGCCACACAGCCUCGCUCUUCUGCAGUUCAGCUCUUCCUUUUACGUUCCUCUUCUGGCUACCUCAUUUAUCCUUCCGUAAACCUUCACUGAUGAGAGAUGUGGUAACCCAAGCAAGUCUAUCGUUCUUGCAACUAAAAUGAACCAGCACACUUAGGACACGACAGGGUUCCUGCUGUCAUUUCUUCCUCUUACCUUGUACCGUCUAAAAAUUGCAGGGAUGUAUUAAAAUGCUUUCUACUCCAUGUUAUUUUAGGUAAUAUUUAAUUAGGUUUUUAUGCUUUAAUACGAUGUCUGAUGUUCUGGAUCGUAUCCUCUAAUUUUUUCUACUAUAAUAAAGUUCCUGACACUA
rnacentral:lncRNA from 1 species